rnacentral:siRNA from 1 species
GGCCAGCACCACGGUCGAGUGA